UAAUACGUAGGCAGCAAGCGUUGUUCGGAGUUACUGGGCGUAAAGGGUGUGUAGGCGGUUCCUUAAGUUUGUUGUGAAAUCUCCCGGCUCAACCGGGAGGGUGCGGCGAAUACUGAGGAGCUAGAGUGCGGGAGAGGAAAGUGGAAUUCCUGGUGUAGCGGUGAAAUGCGUAGAUAUCAGGAGGAACACCGGUGGUGUAAACGGCUUUCUGGACCGUAACUGACGCUGAGACACGAAAGCGUGGGUAGCAAACAGGAUUAGAUACCCUGGUAGUCCACGCCCUAAACGAUGCAUAUUUGGUGUGGGUCAUUCAGUUGAUCCGUGCCGGAGCUAACGCGUUAAAUAUGCCGCCUGGGGAGUACAGUCGCAAGGCUGAAACUUAAAGGAAUUGACGG
rnacentral:rRNA from 1 species